rnacentral:rRNA from 1 species
GACGUAGGGCGCGAGCGUUGUCCGGAUUUAUUGGGCGUAAAGAGCUCGUAGGCGGCUUGUUGCGUCGACUGUGAAAACCCGCGGCUUAACUGCGGGCUUGCAGUUGAUACGGGCAGGCUAGAGUUCGGUAGGGGAGACUGGAAUUCCUGGUGUAGCGGUGAAAUGCGCAGAUAUCAGGAGGAACACCGAUGGCGAAGGCAGCUCGCUGGGCCGUAACUGACGCUGAGGAGCGAAAGCGUGGGGAGCGAACAGG